ensembl:lncRNA LINC00558 long intergenic non-protein coding RNA 558
AGAAUGUUUUGGCUAUUCAGAACCUUUGUGGUUCAAGAAAAGUUUUAGGAUUUUUUAAAUAUCUGUGAGAAAAUGCUAUUGGGAUUUUGAUAGUUAUUGUACUGGAUCUUACUUCAGUCUUGACUUACAUAGGCUGGAAGUAAAAGGAUGGAAAAAAGAGUCUCCACACAAAGUUUCUGUAGGUCAGACAUCCAGCAAGGAGUUUCUGGGUUCUUUGCUCUGGGUUUUAGGAGAGUGAAUUCGAGAUGUGAGCCAGACCAAGUUCUAAUUUGUAAACUCUGAAGAAAAGUUAUUGUCCAAGGUAUUUUGUGGUGAAGAUGAACUCUAGAAUCAGGUACUGCAAUUUGAAUGCUGGCUCCACAACUGAUAAGGUACAUGCCCUGGGACAAACCACACCACCUCUCAGAGCCUGUCACAAGGCAGUCAGGACAUUUUAGGAGCAAACGCCUAUGAAGCUCGUAAAAAGGGCUUGGCUUAUGAAUUUGAAGAAAGAACAAAACGCACAAAGUAACAAUAAAAAAAAUCAAUGAAAGACAAAGCAACAGAAGAACAGAGUAAUAAAGCACAGAUCCACCGAACACAAUUCACAGAGCAGGAAUAAGCUACCCAGUUGUGUACCACCAAUCAUUGGAGUUGAGUUUUGCAACAUCUGAUCUUCUUUCAGUACCCAGUAAUUAUAUCAAGCAUUGCAUAACCCUGAGACUGAUGAAGUGCACCUACACAGGACUGAGGUCUUCGGCCAUUAUUCAGGCAAGGCUGUGACCAGAAUUGACCCAUCUUUAUGGAUAGGAGUCUACACCUGAAAAGUAGCAUUUGAGCUUCCAGAAAGUCUAAGGUGGCAUUCACUGACUCAUAUGUCAUCCUGUGCUCCUGUGUGCCCUCUCCAGAGGCUCCAAGAGUCCUGACACUUACACCUUCUCUUACUCAAAGAAGGUUGCUGAUUUGAUUAUGCUGACAUUCUUCUACAUCUUACAGAUAAAUAAAUCAUCUUGGAUUUUCUAAAA